AAUAGAUACCCCGGUAGUCCUGGCAGUAAACGGUGCACGUUUAGUAUGGGAGGAAUCGACCCCUUCCGUGCUGGAGCUAACGCGUUAAACGUGCCGCCUGGGGAGUACGGUCGCAAGAUUAAAACUCAAAGAAAUUGACGGGGGCCCGCACAAGCGGUGGAGUAUGUGGCUUAAUUCGAUGCAACGCGAAGAACCUUACCUGGCCUUGACAUGCAUCUCUAAGGUGGUGAAAGCCAUUGAGUGUAGCAAUACACAAUUUGCACAGGUGCUGCAUGGCUGUCGUCAGCUCGUGUCGUGAGAUGUUGGGUUAAGUCCCGCAACGAGCGCAACCCUUGUGAUUAGUUGCCACCGGCCCGCGAGGGUCGAGCACUCUAGUCAGACUGCCCUGUGAAACGGGGAGGAAGGUGGGAUGACGUCAAGUCAGCAUGGCCCUUACGGCCAGGGCUGCACACGUACUACAAUGCCCAGUACAGCAGGAGCCGAGACCGCGAGGUGGAGGAAAUCACUAAAACUGGGCCCAAUUCGG
rnacentral:rRNA from 1 species